UAUAUACAUUGCAAUUUUUUUUUUUUUUUUUUUAAAAAGAAGAAGGAAAAAAAA
rnacentral:ribozyme from 1 species